rnacentral:rRNA from 1 species
UGAGGAAUAUUGGUCAAUGGGCGCAAGCCUGAACCAGCCAUGCCGCGUGCAGGAUGACGGCUCUAUGAGUUGUAAACUGCUUUUGUACGAGAAUAACGGUGUUUACGUGUAGACAUAUGAAUGUAUCGUACGAAUAAGGAUCGGCUAACUCCGUGCCAGCAGCCGCGGUAAUACGGAGGAUUCGAGCGUUAUCCGGAUUUAUUGGGUUUAAAGGGUGCGUAGGCGGUUAGGUAAGUUAGAGGUGAAAGGUCAGGGCUUAACCCUGGGACUGCCUCUGAUACUGUCUGACUGGAGAAUAGAUGC